UAUUUUAAUCCUUGCACCCACACCCAAGAGGUUUUAGUGUCUUGACUAGCCAAUAAAAAGGUUCCUUGUGUUUGCACAUUAUAAGUAUGAAACAAUAAAAAAGAAAAAAUCAGGAGUGGGAGGGUUGAAAGGGUGUGGAAAGGAACGGGCAAGCAGAAUGAUGAGAAAUUCAUUUAGAAACAGCGAGGGGGGGUUAUAAAAGUGUCCUCAUCUGCAUGUGAAGCAUAUAAGAGCUACUGUCAAUUUGACUAGUCCUCCACAUCCUCAUAUUCACACACAGGGAACAUCAUAAAAAAACACAGACAAGGAAGAGUCACGGUCAGGUUUAUCAAAUGAAGAGCAAAAUGAAGUUGAUGAUCAGACCCCUUCUUUUCAGUUUGCUCCUGUACUGUGCAACCCAGACAUUAGGUGUCACGAUCCAAUCUGUCCCAGAAUUCAGCAGUGAGGGUGUUAUACAGACAGAGCUGGAGAAGACUGUGUCUCUGGUUUGUCUUGGCAGUGAGACUGAGGACGAUGAAGAGUUGGUCUGGCUAAGGAAUGGCGCUGCCG